CUACAUGAAGCUGGAAUUGCAGUAAUCACAGGUCAGCAUACUGUGGUGAAUACGUUCCCGGGCCUUGUACACACCGCCCGUCACACCAUGAGAGUUGAGAAUACCCGAAGCCCAUGUCAAAGUGGUCGAAGGUAGGCUUGAUGAUUGGGGUGAAGUCGUAACAAGGUAAC
rnacentral:rRNA from 1 species